GGGGAUACCGCCUGCCCCCGCGCGCCGACAUCAACGACGUCCUCCGCGCCCUCGCCAACGAGGCCGGCUGGAUCGUCCUCUCCGACGGCACCACCUACCGCUCUCUCCCUCACCACCUCCAAUGCACCACGAGCUACUGCGCCGCCGCAGCGCCGACAAGCGGCCACGUCAUCGGAGGCGGCGCCGCGCCGCUGCUCCGCCCCGCCGAUCCGGCGACGGUGGGCCCCGCCGCGGACGGGGGAGGCGGCGCCGAUGCCGACGUGGCGUCCUACGUGCAGCUGCUGAGUGUGCUUGGGGAUCGAAGCACGGUGAACCGUUGGAUUGAACCAUAACGCCGCGUCGGAAUUUUUGGUAUUUGGGGGUUUUACAGUAAUAGGGUUUCGUCCAUACGUAUUCAUUCAGGACUUUUUUUUGGUAAUUUCUUGGUACUUGGAGAACUUUUGGAGUAUACAAAGAUAGAAAAGCACCCUAUCUAUUUACUUUCCUAUUUCUCCCAA